ACUGUUUUGGAGUAGUCUCGAGAGCUUUCGUACGUCUCGUCGGACUUCGUGAAGUGAACCGGUGGAUUGAGCUGUGUCUAAUAGAGCUGCGGCGUAGCCGGUGGCAGGGGUUCGAUGGACAUGAAGGGAUGAUGAAGGGAGAAGUGAGGUGGGGUUGGGGAAGAUAGGAAGAGCGGUGAGGUUUUUGUGGGUGAAAGAGGUGGAGAUGGUGGUUGGUUUGGUGGUGGAGAAGAGCAGGGGACGUUGGGGUGACGGUGGAGGGAGGUAACGCGGUCUGUUGAGUGGUUUUAAGGGGUGCAAUUGGCGAGGUGUUGAGUUGAAGUUCGCGGGCUUGAGGCGUGAAGAAACAGAGCUUGAUAGAGGGUCCAUGGAUAGAGAGAGAAUUA
rnacentral:lncRNA from 1 species